rnacentral:rRNA from 1 species
GACGAACGCUGGCGGCGUGCCUAAUACAUGCAAGUUGAGCGAUGAAGACUGGUGCUUGCACCUAUUUGAAGAGCAGCGAACGGGUGAGUAACGCGUGGGGAAUCUGCCUUUUAGCGGGGGACAACAUUUGGAAACGAAUGCUAAUACCGCAUAACACCUUUAAACAUAAGAUUUAAGUUUGAAAGAUGCAAUUGCCUCACUCAAAGAUGAUCCCGCGCUGUAUUAGGUAGUUGGUGAGGUAAAGGCCCACCAAGGCGAUGAUACAUAGCCGACCUGAGAGGGUGGUCGGCCCCCUUUGGACCGGGGCACCGCCCAAACUCCUACGGGAGGCCGCCGUUAGGGAUCCUCGGCCAUUGACGAAAGUCUGGCCGGGCAACGCCGCGGGGGUGGAGAAGGUUUUCCGAGCGUAAAACUCCGUUGGUAGGGAAGGACGUUGGUGAGAGGUGAAAGCUCAUCCAGUGACGGUAACUACCCAGAAAGCGACGGCUAACUACGUG